AUUGAACGCUGGCGGCAGGCCUAACACAUGCAAGUCGAACGAGUGGCGGACGGGUGAGUAAUGUCUGGGAAACUGCCCGAUGGAGGGGGAUAACUACUGGAAACGGUAGCUAAUACCGCAUACCAUCGGAUGUGCCCAGAUGGGAUUAGCUAGUAGGUGGGGUAAAGGCUAACCUAGGCGACGAUCCCUAGCUGGUCUGAGAGGAUUACCAGCCACACUGGAACGGGGACACGGUCCAGACUCCUCCGUGAGGCGGCAGUGGGGAAUAUUGCACAAUGGGCGCAAGCCUGAUGCAGCCAUGCCGCGUGUAUGAAGAAGUCCUUCGGGUUGUAAAGUACUUGCAGCGGGGAGGCGUUACCCGCAGAAGAAGCACCGGCUAACUCCGUGCCAGCCGCCGCGGUAAUAC
rnacentral:rRNA from 1 species